rnacentral:rRNA from 1 species
GACGAACGCUGGCGGCGUGCUUAACACAUGCCAGUCGAACGGAAAGGCCCUGCUUGCAGGGUGCUCGAGUGGCGAACGGGUGAGUAACACGUGGGUGAUCUGCCCCUUACUUUGGGAUAAGCCUGGGAAACUGGGUCUAAUACUGGAUAGGACCAUGCUGUAGGUGGUGUGGUGGAAGGAUUAGUUUCGGUAAGGGAUGAGCUCGCGGCCUAUCAGCUUGUUGGUGGGGUAAUGGCCUACCAAGGCGUCGACGGGUAGCCGGCCUGAGAGGGUGGACGGCCACAUUGGGACUGAGAUACGGCCCAGACUCCUACGGGAGGCAGCAGUGGGGAAUAUUGCACAAUGGGCGCAAGCCUGAUGCAGCGACGCCGCGUGGGGGAUGACGGCCUUCGGGUUGUAAACUCCUUUCAGCCAUGACGAAGCCCUUGUGGUGACGGUAGUGGUAGAAGAAGCACCGGCUAACUACGUG